rnacentral:rRNA from 1 species
AGGCGACGAUGCGUAGCCGACCUGAGAGGGUGACCGGCCACACUGGGACUGAGACACGGCCCAGACUCCUACGGGAGGCAGCAGUAGGGAAUUUUCGGCAAUGGGGGAAACCCUGACCGAGCAACGCCGCGUGAAGGAAGAAGUAAUUCGUUAUGUAAACUUCUGUCAUAGAGGAAGAACGGUGGAUAUAGGGAAUGAUAUCCAAGUGACGGUACUCUAUAAGAAAGCCACGGCUAACUACGUGCCAGCAGCCGCGGUAAUACGUAGGUGGCGAGCGUUAUCCGGAAUUAUUGGGCGUAAAGAGGGAGCAGGCGGCACUAAGGGUCUGUGGUGAAAGAUCGAAGCUUAACUUCGGUAAGCCAUGGAAACCGUAGAGCUAGAGUGUGUGAGAGGAUCGUGGAAUUCCAUGUGUAGCGGUGAAAUGCGUAGAUAUAUGGAGGAACACCAGUGGCGAAGGCGACGAUCUGGCGCAUAACUGACGCUCAGUCCCGAAAGCGUGGGGAGCAAAUAGGAUUAGAUACCCUAGUAGUCCACGCCGUAAACGAUGAGUACUAAGUGUUGGGAGUCAAAUCUCAGUGCUGCAGUUAACGCAAUAAGUACUCCGCCUGAGUAGUACGUUCGCAAGAAUGAAACUCAAAGGAAUUGACGGGGGCCCGCACAAGCGGUGGAGCAUGUGGUUUAAUUCGAAGCAACGCGAAGAACCUUACCAAGGCUUGACAUCCCGAUGACCGCUCUAGAGAUAGAGCUUCUCUUCGGAGCAUCGGUGACAGGUGGUGCAUGGUUGUCGUCAGCUCGUGUCGUGAGAUGUUGGGUUAAGUCCCGCAACGAGCGCAACCCUUAUCUUUAGUAGCCAGCAGUAAGAUGGGCACUCUAGAGAGACUGCCGGGGAUAACCCGGAGGAAGGUGGGGAUGACGUCAAAUCAUCAUGCCCCUUAUGACCAGGGCUACACACGUGCUACAAUGGCGUAAACAAAGAGAAGCGAAGUCGUGAGGCAGAGCGAAUCUCAAAAAUAACGUCUCAGUUCGGAUUGUAGUCUGCAACUCGACUACAUGAAGCUGGAAUCGCUAGUAAUCGCAGAUCAGAAUGCUGCGGUGAAUACGUUCCCGGGUCUUGUACACACCGCCCGUCACACCAUGGGAGUUGGGAAUGCCCGAAGCCAGUGACCUAACCGUAAGGAAGGAGCUGUCGAAGGCAGGCUCGAUAACUGGGGUGAAGUCGUAACAAGGUAGCCGUAUCGGAAGGUGCGGCUG